rnacentral:rRNA from 1 species
UACGUAGGGUGCGAGCGUUGUCCGGAAUUACUGGGCGUAAAGAGCUCGUAGGUGGUUUGUCGCGUUGUCCGUGAAAACUCACAACUCAAUUGUGGGCGUGCGACCAAUACUGGUCGACUAGAGUGCAGGAGAGGAAGGUGGAAUUCCCGGUGUAGUAGUGAAAUGCGUAGAUAUCGGGAGGAACACCAGUGGCGAAGGCGGCCUUCUGGCCUGCAACUGACGCUGUAGCUCGAAAGCGUGGGGAGCGAACCGG